GUUGGAGGGGAGGGGAAGGUGAUGGAGUGGGGCUGGUAACCUAGGAAGGGGCAAGGGUCACUACAAUGUUAAUUGGUGUCUGCAGAUCAGACCCAUUUUUCUAUAGUGAAUAAUUUAAAAACAAUGUCAUUCAUUAAAUGAACCAAUGCCCUUGACUUCUUAAAAGAGGUGAAGGGAAUUAAUCACAGUAAGUUCUCUGAACAUAAAAAUUAACUAAGUUUAUAGUGCUGGAACUGAUGUGUGUGCGAUAACAGUACAUUAUAUUUGAAAGGAUGACCAGAAGACAGCAGCAGGAAUUAAACUAAAGCCAAGAAACUGAGCACAGCUCCUUGGACAAAUCUUAAUCUUGGCUGAUGCCAUAUCUGGUGGGGGUGAGCUGAAGUGUACUUCACUGUGCAUAGAGAGAGAAACCUGCUUUUGAAACUCCUUCCAGAAGCAUACUAUCUUUUCAAGGACAUGUUUGCUUCUCCUGCCAUGGCUGGAAGUUUCCUGAGGCCUCCCCAGCCAUCCUGAACUAGGUACCUGGUGCCAGUUCCUGAGACUUGAGGAUUCUGGUUGGUUCUCAGCACAGGAGUCAGCCUGCUCUGAUUUGCUAGUGAUGUCCUAACCAAUCUCCCUGAAAAAUUAUCUGUGAAAUUUAUUUCUAUACAUCCAACAAGCACAAUGAACUCUAGGUAGAAUAAAUUCAGUGAGGUCCACAUCAAGAACAUUGUAAUCAAACUGUUGAAUGUCAAAGACAGAGAAUCUUGAAAGCAACAAGAAAGAAUCAACUAUCAUGUACAAGGGAACCUUAGUAAGAUGAACAGUUGGCUAUUUAUCAGGAACUAUGGAAGCCAGAAAACAGUGGGCAUAUUUAAAGUGCUGAAAGAAAAGAACCUAUCAACCAAGAAUUCUGUAUCUGGCAAAAUUGCCCUUCAAAAGUGAGGAAGAAAUUGAGAUAUUCCCAAUAAACAAAAGCUGAGGGGUUCACUACAAGUAGACCUGCCCUGCAAGAAAUGCUACAAGAUGUCCUCAAGUUGAAAUGAAAGGACACUAAAUGGUAACUUGAAGCUGUAUGAAGAAAUAAAGGUCUACAGUAAAGGUAACUACAUGGGCAAAUAUAAAAGCAAGUAUUAUUGUGUAGCAUAAUGGAGAAUAUAUGUGGUCUCUCUGGUCUUUGUACCUGGCUCCUGGCACAGAGCUUCAAAAGCCCUUGGAAUUUCCUGAGUGACAAGAGUAUAUUUUUUAUGCUAAUGAGGUGACUCUUUGUAGGUUCCUAGAUAGCUUCAGAAUGGGGCUGAUCACCAGAAAGAUCAAUCACAUGAUUAGAUGAUGGCAACUUCUGGGAAGGGUAUCUUUAUGUCCUAUAUACGGGAAUCCUCAAAGUCCAGGUGAUGCUAAUUCUGUUGGUCACUGGACCAUAUUUUGAGCAGCAAAGAAAUAGCAUAAUAGCAUUUGUUAAAACUGGUCAGACUGUAAGCAUCACCUGAAGUGCUUAUUAAAAAUACCAUCCAGAUUACCUGACCCUACUCUACAUCUGCCAAAUCAGAAUUAAUCAACUUCUCAGGAGGCUUUUGUAAUUCAAUAAAUUUGGGAAAUGCUGAGGUAGGGCAGAGCUAAAUGUGGCCCCUAAGAGAUGAAGUGGUGAGUCACUGGGAUAGCGCCCAAAGGGAUGUGGACAGGAGCUGCUGGACAUGCCCUUGGCUCUCACCUUCAAAGGGAAGUGGACUGUGUGAGUUCCCUCUCACGAUUAUCUCAGGUCAGUAUUUGCCUUUGUAAUUGAUGGAGAACUUCUUAAUUUCUCUCUCUAGUGCGUCUAGAGUGUUGACAGUUGUUUCCAUGGACUUCAAAUCAACCCAACCCUGUGAGCACAGACUUUCAGCACCAGAGUCAGAUUUCCCAAAAAUGCUAUUCUUGAAGCGUAGAGCCAGACUCACAGAUCCUGUAAAGAAAACAGAUCUUUCAGCAAGUGAAACACCCAAUCUUCCAUUGCAUGGGACUCACAGAGGUUCUGAGGGAGAGAUGUGAAUAGAAGGAGUGAUCAUCACUGUGGACUCUAUUUCUUCCAUCUGUGCGUGCAAGAUUUAUAUCUGUAUGUGUUUGUUUUAAAGUUUUAUUGAGGUAUAAUUGAUACACAAUAAUCUGUACCUAUUUAAUGUAUACAAUUUGAUGAGUUUGGACAUACUUAAAUACCUGUGAAACCAUCACCACAAUCAAGGUAAUAGACAUAGCCAUCACCUCCAAAAGUUUCUUUGUGUCCCUUUGUGGUUUGUUUCUGAGAUAAGAACACUUAACAUGUGGACUCUUGACACUCUCCUUGGAUCUCUUAAUUUGAUUGCUGUUGCUGUCACCACAUUGACUUCCUAGCCCUGCUGAUCCUCCUUUAUCACUAGCUCUAGAAAAAAAAACAAACCAAACACCACUAAUUCAUUUAUUCAGUAAUUCAACAAAAAAACCAUUGAGCACUUAAUAUUUGCAGAAUACAUGGCUAGAUGCAGAGGAUUCAAAGAAUUGAGUGAAGUCACAUAAAGUGUUAAGAACAGUGUGUGAUACAAACAUGAAAUAUGUUAGCUGUUAGAAUUUCAAACUCACUUCCAUAUCAAUUAUAAUAAGGAUUUCCAUAAAUAGCAGAAUAGUAUUUCUAUUAGAUGCUCACAGAUGCUAAUAAAACAGUAGAAUGGUAAAAACCAUGCAUCCCCCAAGGCAAGAGAAGGUGAGCUAUUUUGCCUCGGUGGCUCAAUAUUCCAUCAAUGGGUCCUGCUUUAAACUGCAAGUACCUGCCUUCCUUCUUUCAACAGACUGACUCCACGUUGCUUUAGGAAAGAUUCACUGAAACAAAGGAAUAAACCACCCAAGAUAUAGUGUUUUUAAAAACAUUUUUUAAUGAAGAAAUUAUUCCACUCCAAAAUAUAGACACACAAUUAAAUAGUUUAAUCACUUCAAAAUAUAACAUGUCCCCAGGAGGUUCCAACACACACACACACACACACACACAAAACAAUACUUAACAGCAAUACAAAAAUCCAUACAAUAGUAUUUUUUUUUUACAAUACCAAUGAAUAUUGUGAAAUCUUUAGUGUCUCUGAAUUGAUUAUUUCAAAUGGUGUCAAAUUGCAGUAGUCAUAAUUAAAAAUGUCUUACAGUUAAUUCGCCUCAA
rnacentral:lncRNA from 1 species